UGGGGAAUUUUGGACAAUGGGCGAAAGCCUGAUCCAGCAAUGCCGCGUGUGUGAAGAAGGCCUUCGGGUUGUAAAGCACUUUUGUCCGGAAAGAAAUCCUUGGCUCUAAUACAGUCGGGGGAUGACGGUACCGGAAGAAUAAGCACCGGCUAACUACGUGCCAGCAGCCGCGGUAAUACGUAGGGUGCAAGCGUUAAUCGGAAUUACUGGGCGUAAAGCGUGCGCAGGCGGUUUGCUAAGACCGAUGUGAAAUCCCCGGGCUCAACCUGGGAACUGCAUUGGUGACUGGCAGGCUAGAGUAUGGCAGAGGGGGGUAGAAUUCCACGUGUAGCAGUGAAAUGCGUAGAGAUGUGGAGGAAUACCGAUGGCGAAGGCAGCCCCCUGGGCCAAUACUGACGCUCAUGCACGAAAGCGUGGGGAGCAAACAGGAUUAGAUACCCUGGUAGUCCACGCCCUAAAACGAUGUCAACUAGUUGUUGGGGAUUCAUUUCCUUAGUAACGUAGCUAACGCGUGAAGUUGACCGCCUGGGGAGUACGGUCGCAAGAUUAAAACUCAAAUGAAUUGACGGGGUCAUAGC
rnacentral:rRNA from 1 species